UAAAUUUAGAGUUUGAUCCUGGCUCAGGACGAACGCUGGCGGCGUGCUUAACACAUGCAAGUCGAGCGAUGAAGCUUCCUUCGGGAAGUGAAUUAGCGGCGGACGGGUGAGUAACACGUGGGUAACCUGCCUCAAGGUGGGGGAUAGCCUUCCGAAAGGAAGAUUAAUACCGCAUAAUAUGAGAGAAUCGCAUGAUUUUCUUAUCAAAGAUUUAUUGCUUUGAGAUGGACCCGCGGCGCAUUAGCUAGUUGGUAAGGUAACGGCUUACCAAGGCAACGAUGCGUAGCCGACCUGAGAGGGUGAUCGGCCACAUUGGAACUGAGACACGGUCCAGACUCCUACGGGAGGCAGCAGUGGGGAAUAUUGCGCAAUGGGGGAAACCCUGACGCAGCAACGCCGCGUGGGUGAUGAAGGUCUUCGGAUUGUAAAGCCCUGUUUUCUAGGACGAUAAUGACGGUACUAGAGGAGGAAGCCACGGCUAACUACGUGCCAGCAGCCGCGGUAAUACGUAGGUGGCGAGCGUUGUCCGGAUUUACUGGGCGUAAAGGGUGCGUAGGCGGAUGUUUAAGUGGGAUGUGAAAUCCCCGGGCUUAACCUGGGGGCUGCAUUCCAAACUGGAUAUCUAGAGUGCAGGAGAGGAAAGCGGAAUUCCUAGUGUAGCGGUGAAAUGCGUAGAGAUUAGGAAGAACACCAGUGGCGAAGGCGGCUUUCUGGACUGUAACUGACGCUGAGGCACGAAAGCGUGGGUAGCAAACAGGAUUAGAUACCCUGGUAGUCCACGCCGUAAACGAUGGAUACUAGGUGUAGGGGGUAUCAACUCCCCCUGUGCCGCAGUUAACACAAUAAGUAUCCCGCCUGGGGAGUACGGUCGCAAGAUUAAAACUCAAAGGAAUUGACGGGGGCCCGCACAAGCAGCGGAGCAUGUGGUUUAAUUCGAAGCAACGCGAAGAACCUUACCUGGACUUGACAUCCCUUGCAUAGCCUAGAGAUAGGUGAAGCCCUUCGGGGCAAGGAGACAGGUGGUGCAUGGUUGUCGUCAGCUCGUGUCGUGAGAUGUUAGGUUAAGUCCUGCAACGAGCGCAACCCUUGUUAUUAGUUGCUACCAUUAAGUUGAGCACUCUAAUGAGACUGCCUGGGUAACCAGGAGGAAGGUGGGGAUGACGUCAAAUCAUCAUGCCCCUUAUGUCCAGGGCUACACACGUGCUACAAUGGUAGGUACAAUAAGACGCAAGACCGUGAGGUGGAGCAAAACUUAUAAAACCUAUCUCAGUUCGGAUUGUAGGCUGCAACUCGCCUACAUGAAGCUGGAGUUGCUAGUAAUCGCGAAUCAGAAUGUCGCGGUGAAUACGUUCCCGGGCCUUGUACACACCGCCCGUCACACCAUGAGAGCUGGUAACACCCGAAGUCCGUGAGGUAACCGUAAGGAACCAGCGGCCGAAGGUGGGAUUAGUGAUUGGGGUGAAGUCGUAACAAGGUAGCCGUAGGAGAACCUGCGGCUGGAUCACCUCCUUU
rnacentral:rRNA from 1 species